rnacentral:rRNA from 1 species
UACGUAGGGCGCAAGCGUUGUCCGGAAUUAUUGGGCGUAAAGAGCUCGUAGGCGGUCUGUCGCGUCGGAUGUGAAAACCCGGGGCUUAACCCCGGGCCUGCAUUCGAUACGGGCAGACUCGAGUGUGGUAGGGGAGACUGGAACUCCUGGUGUAGCGGUGAAAUGCGCAGAUAUCAGGAAGAACACCGGUGGCGAAGGCGGGUCUCUGGGCCACUACUGACGCUGAGGAGCGAAAGCGUGGGGAGCGAACAGG